GACGAACGCUGGCGGCGUGCCUAAUACAUGCAAGUUGAGCGCUGAAGGUUGGUACUUGUCCCAACUGGAUGAGCAGCGAACGGGUGAGUAACGCGUGGGGAAUCUGCCUUUGAGCGGGGGACAACAUUUGGAAACGAAUGCUAAUACUGCAUAAAAACUUUAAACACAAGUUUUAAGUUUGAAAGAUGCAAUUGCAUCACUCAAAGAUGAUCCCGCGUUGUAUUAGCUAGUUGGUGAGGUAAAGGCUCACCAAGGCGAUGAUACAUAGCCGACCUGAGAGGGUGAUCGGCCACAUUGGGACUGAGACACGGCCCAAACUCCUACGGGAGGCAGCAGUAGGGAAUCUUCGGCAAUGGACGAAAGUCUGACCGAGCAACGCCGCGUGAGUGAAGAAGGUUUUCGGAUCGUAAAACUCUGUUGGUAGAGAAGAACGUUGGUGAGAGUGGAAAGCUCAUCAAGUGACGGUAACUACCCAGAAAGGGACGGCUAACUACGUG
rnacentral:rRNA from 1 species